AUUGGGGGUGAUAUCAGAUCUUAUUAACUCCACCUUACCAGCAAAGUGCAAAAGAAACUUUUCACAAUCAGCAUCACACUCAGCAGGGGAAAAGCGAUGUAGAGUUCAGAAGUUACGAGGUGCACCUGAAUGUACCAUGUUUCACCUUGUUUUUACAGUCUAAGGUUUAGUUGAAGUCACAGGCGCCAGCAGCUGCUGCUGAAUCCCUGGGGUUCACAUACUAAUGCACACAUGGAUAUUGCAUGUUUAAUCAUUGCAUUUAGUAAAUAAUCCAAAUCUAUUCAAACUAUUUGUUUUCCUUUAAUCGUCACAUGCUUUAAAAGAAAUGUAUCUUAUUUAAAGAUAUGUCUGAAAUAUGUUUUAAAAAAAGGAAAAAAAGGGCUAUUCCAAAAGGGUUCACAUAUUCUCAAGAACCACUGUAUAUACACUACUACUCUAGCCUCUAAACGCUUUUAUUGCUGUGACUUCCUGUGAAUCUAGUUAAAAAUUGCAUCAGGCGUGUGAAACCGACUCUGCUGGUUCGUUGAGAUGGUGUUCCUAAUGUUCGUUGGUUUUAUUUUUUAUUUUUUUGCAUAUUCUCUCUGAUCUGCAUACUUCGACUGACAGCGCUGACGUCAGACGAGAAUGCAUCCUCUGAGGUCUUUGAGUCUACUUGAAGGAAGAUCCAGAGAAGUUGGUGAGGGAAUACAUGGUGGUGUCAGAGGGACAGAUGACUCGCACUGAAACAGCUGCCAGAGUGGGACACUGCACUGCUGCUGCUUUUGGCACUAUUGUACUGGGUCAGGUUACUGGAGCGGUGGAUGGCAAUUUGUUUCUGGCGCUGUGUCGCCUGAGGGACAUCGGAGCUGACAGCACAAGUCCUGCAGUAACAGAGCCACUUGAGAGAGAUUAAACUUCAAACUAAUAUCCUCAAGGAACCUGAAUUUUGACUUUGAUACAAGCACCUACUUUAAUAUCUAUGAAUGUUACUGGGAUGUUGUUUUUUUCUUGCUUUGAGCAGCUUUUGCACAGGGAGUUUGAUAUGUUGGUUGGGUGCCUGCCAACAUCAGUGUCUGCCCGACUCUCAAACAUACUUUUCUACUGGUCAAUUAUGGACUCUGCAUACAGUUUCCUUAGCUUUCAUAAAGGAACUGUUACUUGUAGUGCAGCUCUGUUUAGUCAACACAGAAUGAUUCCUGUGUGUUUGAGGUUUUCACAUAUAAGUCCAGAAAAAAGUUGUUGUUUGAUGUUUUUUAGGUGAGGUUUUAUUUGGUUGAAAAUAUUUAGGUCUCAAGGAAAUCCUGUUUUAAAAGUAGAGGAAUUUUCCAUAAAAACUGAAAACUGGACGAACUUUAAAGAAAUACUAAAUGUUUUGUAUGUAUGUGUGUGUGUGUGUGUAUUGACAGGUUUGCUGGCAGGCCUGUGGCAGUUACCAAGUCUCUUGCAGGAGAACCAGCCAGCCAGCCAGCCAACCUGUGUACCUGUCUGCCUGUCUACCAACCUGCCUACCUGUAUCUGCCAGUAAGCGCUUUAUAAACCACUCAAAUCAUCGCUCUGCCUCCUCUGUCUGCAUUUGGGUCCUUUCCCUGUUCUCUGCUUGCCAACACCCGUAACAGUACGAACUGACCAGAAACAUGGACCCAGCAAACAUCCGUUUUCAACUGGAGGAAAUGGAGGAGGUGAGAUCCGCCAUGACCAAAAUUUCUUUUGAUUUAAACAACAAAUUUUUUGAAAAGACAGUCUAUUCUAAACCCUGGUUUUUGGCUGCUCCAGGCGUGACAGAAUUAUUAUCUGGUACGGAUAAACUUAAAAAAGUCUUUCUGGAUUCCUCCAGUAUUGCCCAUACUGGGUUUAGCAUGGAGCAUGCUAACCUUCAGCCUGCUUCCCAGCUUGCUAGCAUCCAGCCUGCUAGCUUGCAGCCUGCACCUCAGCCUGCUAGUCUUGAGCCUGCUAGUUCCCAGCUGAUAUCCCUGCAUGCCUACCUCCUGUGUGCUAGCCUCCAGUCUGCGCCUCAGCCGACACCAGUUCCUGCGCCAUGGCGGUCUCCAGGUCCUGCGCCGUCGUAGCUACCUCCUGCUCCGGUUUGGCCACUGCAGCCUCCUGAAUCUGUUGAGCUGCAGUCACCCGUGGAGUUUGAGCUGCUGCAACCUCCAGUUUCUGCUGAGCCGCAACAGUCUGCUGUUUCCCUGGACCCACCGGUUCCCAGUCCUGCUGUCCUGUCGCAGGACUGUCAGUUCAGAGGGAAGAAGGCAUGUGUCACACAAAAUUCACACCAAACACUUCACACAUUUUUUUCAUUAAAGGAGCCACUGUUGCAGCCAGGCAUAAAGCUGAGUGUGUGAUUCAAAAAAGAGAACCAGAAAGUGCAGGGCAGACUCUCACUGCCAGAGGGCGCAGUUGCUUCAGUUCUGAUUUACGUUUCCUCAAUUCCCACCUCUGCAAAUACAAAUUCAGAAUGCUCACACACAAUGUUGUGUUCUGCUCGAUUCGACCAGGAGACUGGUUCACAUCAAUAGAUCUGCAGGAUGCUUAUUUUCACAUAAGCAUAUAUCCGGCAAACAGGAAAUUUCUCAGGUUUGCUUUUCAGGGCGUAGCCUACCAAUAGCAGACUCUGCCAUUUGGGCUGUCAGUAUCCUCCAUCCCUCUGGACAAAAUCCCAACUAGGUUUUUAUUGGAAGUUAUGGAUUGUAUUGCG